rnacentral:lncRNA from 1 species
AUGUAAAUGGGCAGGAUCAAUUCCUGCCAACAAAAACCCUGCUUCAUGGAAGAAGGCCAUGCUCCAUGGCAUAGAUAUGAACUUGUUAUGAUAUUUCUGAAGAAGAAGAGACUGUAAGGAAGACCUCUCCUAACUUAGCAACCAUUCUCCAUUUUCCAAAAGGGUAAACCAAGGCACAGAAAGAUAGGCACAAGGUAACUUAUGCAUGCAGAAGGUAACAAACACUCGUGCACACACACUGAAAAUCAGAAAGAGAGAGAGAGAGAGAGUUGCCAUAAUUAGUACUUUUGUUUAGAGAAGAAAGGCUGAAGCCUGGAGAAGUUAAGCAACAUGCUUAAAUCCACACAGCUAGUCAGAGGCAAAGCCAAGAUUUGAACGUGGGUAGUCUGAAUCCAGGAUCUUGGCCUUCACCCCUCUAUAACAUGACACCCUCAUCCCUGAAAAAAGAAAAAGUCAACCGAAAGCAUUGUGAAAAGUGUCCUCUAAUAAAAUGGCUAAUUCUGGCAACAGGCCCAGAGAGGGGAUGGAGAAAUCCACUUAGUUUUACUUUCAUGACUGAUACAUAUCUUAAAACUGAGUUUCUUGCUGGAAGAUUUUUUAAAUCUUAUUGUAAAGACCUAGGAACUUAAAACUAACUGAAAAUUCUGGCCAUUAUUGAUCAUCAGGGAUAUGUUAUCUUAAAGAAAGAACUUCUAGCCAAUGUAACACUUGGAUUAAAUUAAUAGCUUCUCAAUCCAGCCAAUAGGUGCUUCUAAACAACACUGGCUGCUCUUGGUCUAUUCUUUAAGUGACCAGAACAGAGAAAGAAAGGUUUUUCAGUGUUAUUUCCCUUGCUAUUUUCUAAAUGUGCUGUGAUCCCUUUGUUGUGGGAAGUUUAGCAUUGAACUUAUAAAUUUGACAGUCCAGAAGAGCUCUUCUAGGUGGAAGCGUAGAUUUAAAUUUUAGACCCCAAGCAAAACUUUCAAUUAAAAAAAGGGAAAAAAUGCUUUUAAAGGAGAAAAUAUGGUGGCUGCUUAGUGUCUGUGUAUAGGUUGGAGGGCUUAGGGUGGGAGGAGGAGUGAAGAGAGCCUCCUUUUGUUGAUUUCCCUAAGUCAUCAGUCAGACUAGCAGUACAUCAAUAUUAUAAGCAUUUUUCUAAACAGAAGAAAUGAAUGAGUUCCCAAGUGUAGCCACUCAAAAGCCUGCAUCAGCUCAGUGAAACUUUCCUUCCAAGAGGCCCACAGCUUCUGGCCUGUCUCCUGAUGGAACAGAAUAUGUGUGGAAAGGGCUUCAUGCUGUGGUCACUGAUUACAGAGUCAAUUAUCUUACUACAAUUUUUUUCACAGUAAGAAAACCUAACCACUUUCAAUGAAAAAACUGUCUCUACUGCAUUCUCCAUAAAUGUCCUUGACUCUUCUUGAGGGCAUUUUUAGGGCCCUCAGGUAUACAGAUUUGAUAAAACAUACUAGAUUCUCUGUACAUGUUUGUUGAAAUAAGUUAUUUUAAGACCUAUUACAGUGGUGUGGGGGAAUACUUAACCCAGAGAGUUGGAGUUUUUUUUUUUUUGGUUGUUUGUUUUGAGGCAGAGUCUUGCUCUGUCAUCCAGGCUGGAGUGCAGCGGCACAAUCUCGCUCACUGCAACCUUCCACCUCCUGGGUUCUGGUGAUUCUCCUGCCUCAGCCUACUCAGUAGCUGGGAUUACAGGCGCGUACCACCACACCUGGCUAAUUUUUAUAUUUUUAAUUGAGACGGGGGUUUCACUACAUUGGUCAGGCUGGUCUCGAACUCCUGACCUCAUGAUCCACCCACCUCGGCCUCCCAAAGUGCUUGAAUUACAAGUGUGAGCCACUGCACCUGGCCCCAUAGGAUUGUUUUUAAGAUCCAAUGACUCCUGUUGCCUGGCUCAGUAAAUGGUAGUUAUAAAAGAGUGCUAAGUUCCAUAGGAAAAAAGAAAUUGGUAAAUGAUGUGGGAGUCUAGAGAUUAAUGAAUUUACUUCCAGCUUUGGGAAUGAAGAUGAGUGUAAAACUUAAAGCUUUUUUCAGAAGUAACAUUUGAACUGAGCCUUAGGGAGGAAGAAGUCUAUUUUUCUUCCUCUACCAUCUUUUCGUUUCUCUGGAUGGGGAGGUAUACAGAAUUGAUUAAACCUUGGGCCAUGGAUGGCUCACAUUUCCUAGGGGGUAGGUCCAAAGAACAUCAAGUUAGAUCAAAUGCAUGAUGCAGUGGUCUCUCUCCUUUCCUGUUUCCAUAUAGGUAAAUUUCUAUUGAUCUGGGCACUGUACUCUCUUUCAUCUCCAGCAAUCCUAUCACCAAUAGAUGUGUAGGCUGAACGGAUAAUUCCUGUCAGAGGCUGCCAUCUUGCUUGCCAGUCUCUUCCUCUCAAGGACCUUUGUAUCCUGGUUACUUUAGCCUCGUUUUAGAAUGACUGUGGUAAGAUAUAACUUUGGUAUUACAGUGGAGUAAAAGUCCAUAUUAGUUUUCUAGGGCUGCUAUAACUUAACAAAAUUCCACAGACUGGGUGGCUUAUAAAAUAGAAAUUUAUGUUCUCAGUUCUGAAGGCUAGAUGUUUGAGAUCAAGGUGUUGGCAGCUCUCCUGAGGGCUGUGAGGGAAGGAUCUGUUCCAGGACACUCUCCUUGGGUUGCAGAUGGCCAUCUUCUCCCUGGUUCUCUUCACAUGGCGUUCUCCCUGUGUCCAUGUCUGUGACUAAGUUUUCCAAGAGAACAAGGCAUUUAUUAAGUAUUAACUCACACAAUCAUGGGGUCCUACAAUAGGCUGUUUGUAAGCUGAGAAGCAAGGAAAGCCAGUCCAAAUCCCAAAACUAAAGAACCUAGAGUCUGUUGUUUGAGGGCAGGAAGCAUCCAGCAUGGGAGAAAGAUGUUGGCUGGGAGGCUAGGCAAGUCUAGUCUUUUCACAUUUUUCUGCCCGCUUUAUAUUCUAGCCAUGCUGGCAGCUGAUUAGAUGGUGCCCACUCAGAUUAAGGGUGGGUCUGACUUUCCCAGCGCACUGACUCAAAUGUUAGUCUCCUUUGGCAACACCCUCACAGACACACCCAGGAUCAAUACUUUGCAUCCUUCAAUCCAAUCAAGUUGACACUCAGUAUUAACCAUCACAGUCUAUAGCCAAGUCUUCCUUAGGGCUUGGAUCUGCACCAGUGUUCCAAUAUUUUUUGCCACAAGAUCAAAAUUAAGUGAUGACUUUGAGUUCCAAUCUGAUCUGUCAUUGUUCCCUUUGCAUAUUCCCUGUUGAGCCUCUGUGAUAAAGAAGUCAUUUGAAUAUACCAGGUUCCCCGAUCCAAGUGCCAACUAACAGUCUUCACACACCCUUCCCUCAAAACCCUAAUAUGAGCUUCGAAAGAUGCAUGAUUUGAAUAUGUGGAGAUGGGAAAUUACUGAGCCCGUAGAGUAAAUAUCACAUGUGGGGCUCAGUCUUAAGUGAGGUUACUGGGGCACCUACCUUAUGGACAGAAUUCAAAGCGAUGCCAAAAAGCUUAUUAAUCAAGUUAAAUAAUAUUUUAAUGAAGUAUUUAAAAAAGCAAACUAGUAAAAAAAGAUAAAAAACAUAUCAAACUUUAAAAAGACAAGAUCCGUGACAAUCCUUCAAAUAUUUUUAGACAGGUGUCUGAAAACCUCUCAGAGCCUCUAAGGCUUCUAAGAGCCUCUCUUUCUGGGUUGAAAUCUUGCUGUGGUGUCAAAUGUCUCUUAUAGGACAUGGUAUUUAGAUCUCUCACUACUCUUCCAUUAAUUCAUUCAACAAAUUAUUUGUUCAUUGUGUGUCUACUAAGUGCCAUCCAGAAUAGUAAUUAAAUAUUUGUCAAAUUAAUAAACAAGCAAAUAUCUAAUUACAGUGUUUUUAAAAAGACACCCACAGGGGCUGUCUAGUCUAGUAGAAAGAAGAAGCAUUAACAAAGUGGUGGGUGUCAGAAGGGCUUGGAUUGGAUGGUAAAGGAUCCUUAAAAUAGGUUUUUUAUUUAUUAAGUCAAUAAAUAAUUAUUUAGUAUAUACUAAUGCAGGGCAUUCUACAUAUAUCAGUUAAGCAUUUCAAAAUGCUAGUAGGCAAAAUGAUUUAGAGACUCAAAGUGUAAAUUGUCAGUAUUUUUCAAGAGAUUAAUUUCAUGGAGGAAGGCCUCCUUGGUGAAUUACUCUAAGAGACAAUGUUUACUGGAUACAUGUCAUUGCAUUCCUCUAGCUGUUAUUCCUCUAGCAGCAAUAACUAGAGGAGGAGGCAGAGAUAGCAGAAGAGGGCAUUUCUUCUUUAUUAGUCAUGACAAAUGAGAGAUAUAAACCAAAUUGGCAAAAAGUGGAAACUAAGUACAGUGAUGAAUAUUUUAGUGAAGAAGAUGCACAUUUGGUUACAAAAUUGCGAGUCUGCUAAGCCUGUAUGAAAACUACAAUGAGCUAUCAGUUAAUCUCUACUGUUUAAAGUUCUAGGAAGAGAAGUAAGCAAGUUGCAUCCCUUGUUCAUAAAACCAAAUGACCACUUUCAACCCUCAAAGGACAGUAUUUAGCUGAUGAUGCUUUAAGUAAUUUUCUGGAGUUACGGAGUAAACGCUGCAACAAGAGGUAGCUUCAAGUUCCCUCUUUGUGGGAAGGGGAUGAUAGGCGAAAGAACAAAAUUGGCCUCCUCUCUAGGAAAAAAGGAUGGAAAAGAUGGGAUAAGAAAGACAAAUAGGCUUACCCAGACAAUGGGCAGGAAAUCGGGUGUAGCAAAUGGCUUUAUAAAGAGACAGCACAGAGCAGUAGCGGGUAUAGACCCAUCUAACUGAAAUAACAAUUGAACUAAUACUGAUGGAAUGCCUACAAUGUAUAAGAAACCAUCCUAGAAUGCCCUGGGGGUAUUCAUGGCCCCUGCCCCUGAGGCACUGAUAAUAAAUAGGAAAGAGAAUGACAUUUGUGAAUUACUUUAAUAUAAAAUGAAGUCUGGAAGAUACUACUACAAAUAUAUAAAAUAUUAUAUAUGUACUGUAAUAAUAAAACAUGCAUAUGUA